UACGUAGGGACCAAGCGUUGUUCGGAUUUACUGGGCGUAAAGGGCGCGUAGGCGGCGCGGUAAGUCACUUGUGAAAUCUCUGAGCUUAACUCAGAACGGCCAAGUGAUACUGCAGUGCUAGAGUGCAGAAAGGGCAAUCGGAAUUCUUGGUGUAGCGGUGAAAUGCGUAGAUAUCAAGAGGAACACCUGAGGCGAAGGCGGGUUGCUAGGCUGACACUGACGCUGAGUGCGCGAAAGCCAGGGGAGCAAACGG
rnacentral:rRNA from 1 species